AAUGCAGAUACCUCAGCCCCCAGUCCAGGAAAGUUAAUCAGAAUCACUUGGAUAUAGCUUCCUUUGCAACUCUGUCAGUGGAAGACAAGUUGCGGUAGACAGGGUACAAGGACAGCAUGGAAGAAAGAAAAAAAUGCAUCCCAUUUUUUGUUAUUUUCUCAACAGUCUCUGGAAGAAAAGAAAAAGAAGUGUAGCUCUCUGUAUACGACAAAAUGGCUGCAUAAUCAUCUGUGAAAAUUGGAGGUGAUGAUACAUCUAACAGACAAAAUAAAUUACUGUGACAAGAAAAAGCCCAGGUUUACUGAAGAAUCAAGCAAACUCUUAUCCAAUAUCACUCAGGCUUGCUACACAGAUCAUAAAAUGUGGAAAAUUUGGGUGUUUUCAGUUUAGAUGACUUUCAUUUAACCAUUUUUUAUACUCUUCCUCCACCCCAGGCUCUGCCAAUAUCUUGAAUGUGCAUAUACAUGUAUACACACACACAUAUAUGUAUCUGUAUAUAUGUAUAUUUCAGAUACAAACAUAUUUUCAGAAGACACACAUAUGUAGAAAUAGAGACAGUGAAGAUAUAGAUACAUAAACAUAUACACAUAAACUAUACACAUAUACAUUUAUAUACACAUAUAUAUAAUGGCUUAACUAUACUUUAUUUAUAUCUAUGUUUGCAUUUAUAGCUUAAUUUUGUCCAUAUUGAGGGACUAAGUGGCUAAGUGGGCUGGACUCCCUGGGUCAAUAUGGACUUCCCUAAGGGGACUUUCCCCUAAGCCAAAAUGAGUCAUAGCUGCAAGGUAAGGGAUUGAAACUUCAACCAAUCAAUGGGGAUUUUCCCCUAAGCCAAAAUGAGUCACAGCUACAAACUAAGGGAUUGAAACUUCAACCAAUCAUAUAGGGGGUUUAAGCUCUAGCUGCAGCCUGAUGUUUUUAACCAGUCAGGCCCGCCAACCUGCAAGCAGAUAGAAAAUAAGCUAAUCCUAUAGGACAGAAAAAGGAAAAGGGGAGGAGUCAUAAGUGGAUAUAAGCAUAAGACACCUAAGCCAGAAAUGGCAACCCUUCCAGUUCCCCUUCCACUGUGUGGAAGCUUUACUUUCACUUUUGCUUUACUUUGGCUUUAAUAAAUCUUGACCCAGCACUCUCUUUGGGUCUGCAUGCUUCUCAAAUUGAGCUGUAACACUCACUGCUGCCGUCCAAGCCUUCAUUCUUUGAAGCCCGUGGAACCACAAACUCUUCAAUUGAGAAAAACCUUCGAUUGGAAGAGACUUCUCAUCUCAUUUCUGGGGGCCUGUCUGGGAUUUCUCUGAAGUGAAUAGAAUCCAUGAAACUGCAAAUGGUUCUACAAAUGGAGCCCCAAAUGACCACCACUAGCACCUACUAUCGAGGACCCCUAGACUGACCUACCAACCUGUUCUAACACCACGACACUGAAGACUCCCCUCCUGAGGAACCCUCAACUGCAGAUCCCCUUCUAUGCCCCAGUUCAGCAGGAAGUAGCUAGAAUGAUCAUUGCCCAACUUCUCAACAGCACUUGGGCUUUCCUGUUGAGAGUGGGUACUGAGGCACUAAGUGGCUAAGUUGGCUAGACUUCCUGGGUCAACAGGGACUUCCCUAAGGGGACAUUCCCCUAAGCCAAAAUGAGUCAUAGCUGCAAGCUAAGGGAUUGAAACUUCAACCAAUCAAAGGGGACUUUCUCCUAAGCAAAAAUGAGUCACCGCUGCAAACUAAGUGAUUGAAACUUCACCCAAUCAUAUAGGGAGUUUAAGCUUUAGCUGCAGCCUGAUGUUUUUAACCAAUCAGGCCUGCCAACCCACAAGCGGAUAGAAAAUAAGCUAAUCCUAUGGGACAGAAAAAGGAAAAGGGGAGGAGUCAUAAGGGGAUAUAAGCAUAAGACACCCAAGCCAGAAACGGAAAUCCUUCCGGGUCUCCUUCCACCACGUGGAAGCUUUACUUUUGCUUUUACUUUACUUUCACUUUAAUAAACCUUGGUGCCACACA